UACGUAGGUGGCAAGCGUUAUCCGGAAUUAUUGGGCGUAAAGCGCGCGCAGGCGGUUUCUUAAGUCUGAUGUGAAAGCCCACGGCUCAACCGUGGAGGGUCAUUGGAAACUGGGGAACUUGAGUGCAGAAGAGAAAAGCGGAAUUCCACGUGUAGCGGUGAAAUGCGUAGAGAUGUGGAGGAACACCAGUGGCGAAGGCGGCAUCCUGGACCAACACUGACGCUGAGGAGCGAAAGCCAGGGGAGCAAACGGG
rnacentral:rRNA from 1 species